rnacentral:rRNA from 1 species
CUGACUGCUAUCGGAUGAUACUAAGCCAUGCGAGUCUUUGCAGUAAUGCAAGGCAUACGGCUCAGUAACACGUAGUCAACCUACCCUAUGGACGAGAAUAAUCUCGGGAAACUGAGCAUAAUUCUCGAUAGAUCAUAAUGCCUGGAAUGGUUUAUGGUUAAAAUGAUUCGUCGCCAUAGGAUGGGACUGCGGCCUAUCAGUUUGUUGGUGAGGUAAUGGCCCACCAAGACUAUUACAGGUACGGGCUCUGAGAGGAGUAGCCCGGAGAUGGGUACUGAGACACGGACCCAGGCCCUAUGGGGCGCAGCAGGCGAGAAAACUUUGCAAUGUGCGAAAGCACGACAAGGUUAAUCCGAGUGGUUUCUGCUAAAGGAACCUUUUGUUAGUCCUAAAAACACUAACGAAUAAGGGGUGGGCAAGUUCUGGUGUCAGCCGCCGCGGUAAAACCAGCACCUCAAGUGGUCAGGAUGAUUAUUGGGCCUAAAGCAUCCGUAGCCUGCUCUGUAAGUUUUCGGUUAAAUCUGUAUGCUCAACAUACAGGCCGCCGGGAAUACUGCAGAGCUAGGGAGUGGGAGAGGUAGACGGUACUCGGGAGGAAGUGGUAAAAUGCUUUGAUCUCUCGAUGACCACCUGUGGCGAAGGCGGUCUACCAGAACACGUCCGACGGUGAGGGAUGAAAGCUGGGGGAGCAAACCGGAUUAGAUACCCGGGUAGUCCCAGCUGUAAACGAUGCAGACUAGAUGAUGCAUUGGCAUAAUAGCCAUUGCAGUGUCUCAGGGAAGCCGUUAAGUCUGCCGCCUGGGAAGUACGUACGCAAGUAUGAAACUUAAAGGAAUUGGCGGGGGAGCACCACA